GGCCGGUUGACGCAGUUGGUUAGCGUGUGGAGCUAAUAGGAUUGAGGUGUCGAACCCAUAUCCGCUACUCCAAAGUCAUGGGUUCGAGCCCCAUACGGGCCA